AAAACCGUUCGUAGCCGCAACGUAACUUACGAUGUACGAUUGCACGUACGCGUGCGCAGUGGCUAUUUUCACUUCGAAGCGUAAAAAGUGUGAAUUUGCUCAUUUACUUUGAAUUCCCUGCGCUACCGCCGCAUUAUGAUGAAAAAGAACACAGAACUUUGUGAGAAAGCAACGAAUUUCAACGUAUUCGUAUGCCUGCCAACGGCAUGUCGAUCAACUGUACCGUUAUUCAGUGUUGUUUACAAAUCCAAAUGGAAGAUUCAUCAAAUUUAACGCAUUUGACUUGUGCAUGGAUCUGCGAUGCUGUAGGUGUUCAAAAAGAAGUCGGCAUGGACUGACAAUGUCAUAAAGGUGGUCAAGAAAUAAAUUGCCAAACAGACAGCAGCAUUCCUUGAUUUAGAUGCAUUUCUCUUCAUGUCCUCUCCUGAAAGAUUUUCCAUGAUGCUUCAGGGUUAGGAUUGGGAUGCAAGAUGUACAGUACAUAUAUAUGAUGUCUAUGGGUACAUUGCUGUAAUGGCCUGAAAAAUCUUUUGCGAAACCGAGAAAUGUUCAUCUUCCAUUGCCAUGAUUGUGUAAAAGGACGAGUAGAGGAAUGAUUCAAAAAUAUAUGGCAGGAUUGAGAAUCUAACCCAUGACCCGUAGUCUGGUACUCUACCCACUGAUCAAUCCAUGCUGAUGGUCCAUCUACUAUAUUGAUGUCAUCUUAUAUAUUUAUUUAUUCAUUUAUAUCAUAUGGACAUUAAAAAAUUGACAGUAAAAUAAAAAAAAGUUUGAUAUUCAGCAAAAUAGAAUUUGUUACAAUACAUGUUUAAGAAAUUAAGUACAUGUACAUGCAUUGUUAUGCAUACAAUUAUGUACAUGUAAUUAUAUUUGUUAAUAGAUAAAUUUUUAGAUAAAUUUUCAUGUUGUUAUUGAUAUUGACAUGUACAUGUAUUACUUCCAUUUCUAGAAUGAUUUUAACAUCUUGAUAUUAAAAAGAUGACAUAAUAAAUAAAUCUUAAAUAUUUGUCAACAAA